AACUGCCCCUGAAGUGAGAAAUGUGAGAGUAUUUAGAACAUUUGUAUCAUAUCCAUUUGACCUGUCAGAGCUCACUGUUAGAUACACUCAUCUGUAACUUACUUAGUAAAUACUCUGCAGCAUCCUGCUCAUAGUCUGCGUCAUCAGGAAAGUGAUCAAUGUCUUUACAAACACCUCGAAAUAUCCCUGAAAAGACAACAAAAAAAAAGUCUGCAUUUGUAAUGCAUACUCUCAUGCACAGCGCCUGAGCCAACAGAAACUCUUAUCAUAGGGGGAGCUAAUUGAACUGAUUCUUAAGUUGCUAAGAUCUACAUUUUUAUGCAAGAUGGCCGUUAUAUCUGAAAAUGUGUGUGUCUCUACACACACACAAAUUUUUUGGGAUUGGGAGGUUGUAGUGGAAAAGUAAAGACAGGAACCCCAAAUUCAAGCUAGUAGGUUUCCUGGUUUGGAGAAACUAUCUGAAGUGGUCCACAUCUCUGCACUGUAAAAAGAUGGAUAUUCCUCACUCUUUCUUAAAGGAAAGAGACCUGGAAUCACACUGACAAUAAAUUCUACAACUGGAGAUUUUGUUAGAAAUUAGAGGUCUUUGAACUCAAUUGGUGCCACUGAUUUCAUGUAGGGGAAUUGGACGAAAGGAGGUUGAAUAAAAAUAAUUUAUACACUUUUUAGACUUCUACACAAAUAUGAAGCAUAAUGAGUUGGUCUAUAUAAAAGAAAAGAAUAGAGUAGGAUAGAAUUUUACUAUAUAUAAUAAAAUAUAACAUAGUGAAAUAGAAUAGAAUAGAAACCGCCUAUAUUGUCCCGAAAAAAGAAAAUUCAGGUGUAAGAGAUAUAAAGGUCCACACAAAAAAGGUCUUAAUAUUGGGUUCUGCAGGGGAGUGUUUUCUCUACAUUUACAGGGUGGCAGGCUGAUGGGAUCCAGCUGGGGCUCAGCAACACCAAUCAGCGAAGGCCUUAAAUAGGAGCGGCUUCCCUGAGGCACACGCCAGAUGAUUUUGCUUCAACAGUGGGGAUGAGCUUCUUAUCCAUCACAGUGUAGCAUGGCCUGCUCAAGUUGGUUCCAGAUGCAAGAAGGUCUGACUGACAUUGUCUGUCCUUGGACUCGAGAUCAUCACAACCUCAAAUGACUGCAACAAGAAACCACAUACUGCAUAUGUAUUUGUUAUAGUACAGCCUAUAACAAAAUAUCAGUUCUACAACAUUUACCUUGUUAAACACAACAAGAUGCUCCAUGGCCUGAGCACCACUGAUCUUCAGCAUUCUGUCUUUGCAGCCAGAAUAUACAGCAGCUACAAAAAUGCCCUACUCUGCCAAAAUUGACAAAACACAG